AUCUCCCCUCUCUUGCUCGAACAAUGUAACCAGAUCAGAUUAAGAUUCUAUGGGUAACCCUUAUAUUUGGGAUAAGAAUUAUCCAUCCUGUUGUUCCUGAAAGCACAGCAACCAAUGGUGUAGACAAUGACAAGGAAGAUGAGGAAGAUGAUGUUGACAAUGGCAACCUUCUUCCUAAGACUCUUUAUAUUUUGAAGCACUCCACCCUUACAAGACUGGCAGUUGUAGCAGAGAUCAUUUUCAUUGUUGUUCCAAGCUGUGCACUCAGAAUCAGUGAAGGAGGUUGUGUUGCUUGGGUUGGUCCAUUCGAUUGGAGUCACAUAGGUGAAGUUACAUGAAGUUGGAGGCUUACAACAACCAGACUGCAGAUCACAUCACCAAAAGAAAACCAAAUAACACAUUAA